CGUAUCGGAGGACACUGUGAGUAAGCUAUAGGCGUGGAACGCGGAUGUUUUCUGCCAGUAGUGCAGUGUGUGGCUUGGUCUACACCUGUUUUCCGUUCUGUUUCAUCACUAACUCUAAAAGCUACUGUCUGUUUCUAUUUCCGUCUUCUGGAAACCAUUGUUAUAUCUCAUUAAAAACUAUUUCAGAUAAUAUUUUCAUUACAAAUCACAGUUUGUUUACAUAUCUGAACACUGUCCCUCCCAUUGAGCUUCUACCGUGAUAAUAAAUGAUUUCUCAAAUAACAUCGAGAAAGGGUAUCGGAGUACAUACAGUCACAUCGGAAGACUGCCCUAUUGGUUCUGUUAUGGCAACACCUAUCUAAAUACGAUAUGCGCAUGCGCGCACGGAUGAAAUGGACACGGCCGGGUGCCUGUAUAUAUUGGUGCGCUCCUCCCCGAGGUACAUAUUGACGGAAUAUAUCUCAGCUGCUUCAACCUCUUGACCGGACGAAUUCUUCUCUCUCCGCAGAACUAUGGAUGGAUUAAUUGACAAUUUGCUUUCCGAUCAAUGGGAGGAGGUGUCCGCCGCUGACCGUGGAGACGGAUUCGUCGAUUAUUUCCUAAAUGGGAAUCCAACACAGGUGGACGCAAACACUCUCGGACUGGUUAUCUCGGAUGAGGAAGGUAACGCGAAAAAAGUGGUACUGAAGGGCACACAACCCAACAAGAACCCCCUUAAUAAAAUCAGCCGUGUUGAACUAAAACUUGAUGGAGAGCAAAACUUGGUUGGAAUUGAUUUGAAUGGAGAUGUUGUGGUUUACAAGAGCUAAGGAUAAAAUACGAAGUAUCAAAGACAUGAUGUAAAUAAGCAUUAACAUUCACAUAUAUAUUCGCCCUAUUUCGCUGUAAAUAAAUCUGUGUUACGUUUUAAGUUGUUAUAAUAUAAAUUUUACUAUGCUCCCAAACUGGCCUUUUGUUAUCUCGUGUGGCCAAAACCUGUGUCGUCACUAACAAAUGUCAUCAGUGAAGCAUCAGAAUCAGAACCGGAACCGGAAGUUGCUCAUAUAUGUUACAGUUUGUUCGACAAGUGUUCAGAUCGCCGAUUUUUAAAGCUUCAGAACAUGGCUUAUCCAUUUGUAAUGUAAAAGUAUAUGUUUGGUAAAUCGUUGUGAUAUUAGAAACAUAUAACCGAGAACUUAACAUUGAUUAUGUUACAUGCUGUCAAGUUUAUAAGGACCUUCGUCAUACAAAUUAUCUGUUGAAUUUUUGCAAGUUUUAUGUAAAAGUGUGACACGUAUGUAGCUGUUCUGUUUAAUUUACUGAUGUCUGCUGAAUAUUUAUACUCACAAAUAAACUAUUUCAUGUUA